GGAGAGUGCGGUCCGACCUUUUGGUGGGUACUUGCUCUCUCCGGCCAUCCUUGGGAGGAGCCUGUCUGGCAUUAAGUUGUCGGGCUGGGGAUUCCCAUCAUUUACUGUGAGUUAAUUGGAGUGUUCAAAGCAGACUUAUGUCGUUGAACAUAUUAGCAUGGAAUAAUAAGAUAGGACCACAGCACUAUUUUGUUGGUUUGCGCGCCGUGGUAAUGAUGAAUAGGGACAGUUGUGGGUAUUCGUAUUCAGUUGUAAGAGGUGAAAUUCU
rnacentral:rRNA from 1 species